rnacentral:tmRNA from 1 species
GGGGACGCGUGGGUUCGACAGGGGGUGUCUUUGCGGGAUUGCAGGUCGAGGCGCCAUCUACCUCGUAAAAAGGUGGCAAACAAUUAACUGGCGAUAAACAGCUAGCACUAGCCGCCUAAGGUGGCUACGUCCACCGUCACCUAUCUCCGAGGGGGGCGACUGGGCGACAUAAAUCGGAGUGCUGCCGCGCCGAUGCCGAUGAGCGUGGCUCAAGACCUUCGGC